CAUAUUAGAACCUCGAAGUGUAAGGAUUUCUAAAUUCUUUAGAUCUCCAAUAAUAGCGAUGUCUCCUAGUUGGCAAUCAUCGAGAGACAAUGUUUGAAGGCUUUGUAAGAGACCAAGCGAUGAAGGCAAUGCCAGCAAAUGCAUCUUGAAGGCAAUGCCAACAAAUGCAUCUUAGUGAAAUCUAAAACUCUAAGCUCUGUCAUCUCAGUAAAAAUGUUAUCUGGAAUUCUCAAAGAAGGAUCAUUGCUAAUACGAAAGUAUUUAAGUUGCGGACACUCGAACCCUUGAGGAAGCUCACUAAUAUUAGUAUUAAAUAAGGAGAUUGCGGUGCAAACCUUC
rnacentral:lncRNA from 1 species